rnacentral:RNase_P_RNA from 1 species
CGAGCUGGCCGGACAAUCGCUGUCGCUCUGCUUUCGGGUGGGGCGGUGGAGGAAAGUCCGGGCUCCAUAGGGUGGGACGCCAGGUAACGCCUGGGAGGCGCGAGCCUACGGAAAGUGCAGCAGAAAGGUAGACCGCCGAUGGCCCGCGAAAGCGGGCACAGGUAAGGGUGAAACGGUGCGGUAAGAGCGCACCGCGCAGCUGGCAACAGUCUGCGGCGAUGGUAAACCCCGUCCGGAGCAAGACCAAAUAGGCCCCCUACAGGUGUGACCCGCACUGGGGGCGGGUAGGUCGCUUGAGGUGUGUGGCGACACACAUCCCAGAUGAAUGAUUGUCCUCGACAGAACCCGGCUUACAGGCCAGCUCGACAA